AUACAGAGGGUGCAAGCGUUAUUCGGAAUUACUGGGCGUAAAGCGCGCGUAGGCGGAUGAUUAAGUCAGUUGUGAAAGCCCUGGGCUCAACCUAGGAACUGCAUCUGAUACUGGUCGUCUAGAGUUUACGAGAGGGAAGUGGAAUUCCAGGUGUAGCAGUGAAAUGCGUAGAUAUCUGGAGGAACAUCAGUGGCGAAGGCGACUUCCUGGCUUAAAACUGACGCUGAGGUGCGAAAGCGUGGGUAGCGAACGGAAUUAGAAACCCUAGUAGUCC
rnacentral:rRNA from 1 species